AGAGUUUGAUCCUGGCUCAGAACGAACGCUGGCGGCAGGCCUCAAACAUGCAAGUCUAGGGGGUGCGCAAGCAUCACCGGCGGACGGGUGCGUAACACGUGGGAAUAUACCUUUUGGUUCGGAACAACGCAGGGAAACUUGCGCUAAUACCGAAUGUGCCCUUACGGGGAAAGAUUUAUCGCCAAAGGAUUAGCCCGCGUAGGAUUAGCUAGUUGGUGAGGUAAUGGCUCACCAAGGCUCCGAUCCUUAGCUGUUCUGAGAGGAAGAUCAGCCACACUGGGACUGAGACACGGCCCAGACUCCUACGGGAGGCAGCAGUUGGGAAUCUUGGACAAUGGGGGAAACCCUGAUCCAGCCUUGCCGCGUGAGUGAUGAAGGCCUUCGGGUUGUAAAACUCUUCG
rnacentral:rRNA from 1 species